UGCCCGGUGGUGUAAUUGGCAACACGAAAGAAUUUGGAUCUUUUGUUCAUGGUUCGAGUCCAUGCCGGGCAGCCA
rnacentral:tRNA from 1 species